UGGGGUGUGGCCAAGCGGUAAGGCAGCGGUUUUUGGUACCGUGUAUCGGAGGUUCGAAUCCUUUCACCCCAA
rnacentral:tRNA from 3 species